GCACUAACGAGGGACAGGUGAGUGCGAUCAGAAGGCUAGGAAAGUGCUUGGAAAUAAAUGAGUGCAAGCAAAGAGAGAAUACUUGAUGCGGCCCAGCCUGACCCAGACACUACCUCCAGCGGCCCCCAGAUCAAAUAGUUUGAGCUGUCAGUCAAGCGUGAGACACCAAGACGCUGGGAGUCAACAAGCUGCUUGAUCCCUCGUCGCCUUCGGUGCCAACCAGCUGCAUCCCGCAGCCUCGCCCAUCACAUCGCCAUGACGACAAUGUGGGAGAUGACAGGCCUAAUGCCGGGGAAGAAACAUGGCUCAUUAGGUUUAAUGGAGCCUGACGGAUGAUUAUCCAUUUGGUGGAACGGGAACAGAACUGAAGAGAAACAGAAGCAUUUCAGUUAAGCGACAGGCAGGCUGAUUGACCAUUCAUAGUCAAUGUAUCCGUUUGACAGCUGGGAGCUUGUUAGUAACUAUUGGAACAUCUGCCAAACUGAAAUGUAUUUCUGAAAACAAUAUGUUUGCAUUAGCCAUGAUACA